GACGGAGGGUGCUAGCGUUGUUCGGAAUCACUGGGCGUAAAGGGUGCGUAGGCGGGUCUUUUAAGUCAGGGGUGAAAUCCUGGAGCUCAACUCCAGAACUGCCUUUGAUACUGAAGAUCUUGAGUUCGGGAGAGGUGAGUGGAACUGCGAGUGUAGAGGUGAAAUUCGUAGAUAUUCGCAAGAACACCAGUGGCGAAGGCGGCUCACUGGCCCGAUACUGACGCUGAGGCACGAAAGCGUGGGGAGCAAACAGGG
rnacentral:rRNA from 1 species